AUUUCGGCAUUGCACAAGGUCAUGUUUUCUGGCUGACGGUUAGUGACGUCUUUAAAUCAAAUCCAUUGGAUGUUUGAUGUGUACAGAUUAAUAGUUUAGUCUCAAAACAUGAUUACCUUACUAGUUGUUUAAAGAGGUAGAUACUAGACGCUGAGGUUGACAAAUUUGAUGUGGAGACUGAGUCAAAACAUUGAUUACAGAUUUAACCGCCACGAUUUUAAUCAUAUGCGUGUUAUUGACAAGCUAUCUAUCUUGUCUUGGUUUAUCUGAAUUAUAUGUUAGAAAAUCAAACUUUGGACGUAGAAAACUAACAUCAACUAAUUAUGCAAAAUGUAAAAUCACAAAAAUACUGUCCUCCGAGGAAAAUUCAAAACGGAAAGUCCCUAAUCAAAUGGCC
rnacentral:lncRNA from 1 species